rnacentral:lncRNA from 1 species
GAUUCCCCUGCCUCAGCCUCCCAAAUAGCUGGGAUUACAGGUGCCUGUCACCAUGCCUGGCUAAUUUUUGUAUUUUUAGUAGAGAUGGGGUUUCACCAUGUUGGCCAGUCUAGUCUCGAACUCCUGACCUCAGGUGAUCUGCCUGCCUCGGCCUCCCAAAGUGCUGGGAUUACAGGUAUGAGCCACCAUGCCUGGACUGGUUAUGUAGAAUUUGAGGAGACUAUGGUUGGUUGCAGGGUUGGAUAGCAGUUGGAUCUGGGCUGAAGACAGAUCUGAGAGUCACCAGCAUAUGAUGGUCUUUGAAGCUACAGCAGAGAAUGAGGUCCUCUGGAGAGAAAUGCACAAAAUCAGAAGACAGCCUGGCUCUGAGGACGGAGGAAAAACCCUUUGCAGGAGACUGAGAAUGAACAGGCUAGAUGUUCGCCAUCCAGCCAGGGCUAGCUGAGGGGGGCCAAUUCCUGGGGGACCCACCUCCUGGAUUAUGUCAGCCCGAGCUCCAACCAGACAGCAACUCCAACUUCAUGGCAAGUGCCAAGGAUGCUAACGAGAAUUGGCAUGGGAUGCCAGGCAGAGUGGAA